rnacentral:tRNA from 1 species
GGAGAGAUGGCCGAGAGGUCGAAGGCGCUCGCCUGCUAAGCGAGUGUGUGGCGAAAGUUGCACCCAGGGUUCAAAUCCCUGUCUCUCCG